CAGCAGCCGCGGUAAUACGUAGGUGGCAAGCGUUGUCCGGAAUUAUUGGGCGUAAAGGGUUCGCAGGCGGUUUCUUAAGUCUGAUGUGAAAGCCCCCGGCUCAACCGGGGAGGGUCAUUGGAAACUGGGAAACUUGAGUGCAGAAGAGGAGAGUGGAAUUCCACGUGUAGCGGUGAAAUGCGUAGAGAUGUGGAGGAACACCAGUGGCGAAGGCGACUCUCUGGUCUGUAACUGACGCUGAGGAGCGAAAGCGUGGGGAGCGAACAGGAUUAGAUACCCCGGUAGUCCCUGUCUCUUAUAC
rnacentral:rRNA from 1 species